UACGUAGGUGGCGAGCGUUGUCCGGAUUUAUUGGGCGUAAAGAGCGUGUAGGCGGCCCGAUAAGUCCGCCGUGAAAGUCCAGGGCUCAACCCUGGAAUGCCGGUGGAAACUGUCGGGCUGGAGUCCGGAAGAGGCGAGUGGAAUUCCUGGUGUAGCGGUGAAAUGCGCAGAUAUCAGGAGGAACACCAAUGGCGAAGGCAGCUCGCUGGGACGGUACUGACGCUGAGACGCGAAAGCGUGGGGAGCAAACAGG
rnacentral:rRNA from 1 species